rnacentral:misc_RNA from 1 species
CUUGGUAAUACAGGACGAAUCAAACUCCCUCCACCCUUAACAGAGGUCUCGGGUUCAAGCCUAGGAAUGGAACAAUUCCCAUCAAAUGAUUCAUACACAAAUCUAGAUAAAUUAGCCCAAUGGGUUGUGAUAACUAAGGCGAAAACCAGAAAAGUGAGACAUACUAUAGUCUCCUCACUUAAAUGCAGAUCAAACCAACAAAUUGAAACAUACAAACACACACAUAAAAUUGAUGAUCCAUCCUGUCCCAGCUUACAGUGUGACUCAAAUCAUAAUACUUUUCUUUCUAAUAGUAAUUAAAAUAAAUGAUAUGACACCUGAGCCUACAUCCUUUUAACUCAAACCACAAAACUAGCUCGUUAGUACAUAUGCUUAAAUCACCCGGUCCAUUUCCCAAUUACAGGGCAACAAGAAAAGGAGAUCCAUCAAGAGAUAUCAACUAGUUGACCAACUUGAAAUAAACCAACUUUACUAAAACCCAAGUAGCAUUAAACUAACAAGUAGAUAUCACAAAAAAGGAAAUUGAAUGAACAACAGAUCUAGAUUGAAAACCAAAAAAACCUGUUGAUAUGAGCACAGAUAUGCAUAUUUUGGUCAUCCUCCAUAUUUUUUUUGCAGGUAAAAAGAAAUGGAAGAAAUUUAGGUGUACGGAUGAUUAUGAACCAUUGGAGAAAUGAAGAAAUUAUAGAUGGGGGUGAGGGUGAC